AAUAGAUACCCCGGUAGUCCAUGCCGUAAACGUUGGGCACUAGGUGUGGGGCUCAUUCCACGAGUUCCGUGCCGCAGCAAACGCAUUAAGUGCCCCGCCUGGGGAGUACGGCCGCAAGGCUAAAACUCAAAGGAAUUGACGGGGGCCCGCACAAGCGGCGGAGCAUGCGGAUUAAUUCGAUGCAACGCGAAGAACCUUACCAAGGCUUGACAUGCACGGGAAGCCACCAGAGAUGGUGGUCUCUUUGGACACUCGUGCACAGGUGGUGCAUGGUUGUCGUCAGCUCGUGUCGUGAGAUGUUGGGUUAAGUCCCGCAACGAGCGCAACCCUCGUCCCAUGUUGCCAGCGGGUUAUGCCGGGGACUCAUGGGAGACUGCCGGGGUCAACUCGGAGGAAGGUGGGGAUGACGUCAAAUCAUCAUGCCCCUUAUGUCUUGGGCUUCACGCAUGCUACAAUGGCCGGUACAAGGGCUGCGAUACCGUAAGGUGGAGCGAAUCCCAAAAAGCCGGUCUCAGUUCGGAUUGGGGU
rnacentral:rRNA from 1 species